rfam:Oryza barthii chromosome 7, whole genome shotgun sequence.
AAAAAGACAAAUCCUGUUUUUCGUGCCCAACGUUUGAUCGUCCGUCUUAUUUGAAAAAAUUAUGAAAAAAAAUUAAAAAGAUAAGUCACGUAUAAAAUAUUAAUCAUGUUUUAUCAUCUAACAACAAUGAAAAUACGAAUUAUAAAAAAAUUUCAUAUAAGACGGACAGUUAAAGUUGGACACGGAAACCUAAGGUUUGCGUUUUUU